UAGUGGCGGACGGGUGAGUAACGCGUGAGAAUCGGCCCUCAGGUUGGGGACAACCAUUGGAAACGGUGGCUAAUACCGAAUAAGCCUUAUGGUGAAAGAUUAAUUGCCUGGGGAAGAGCUCGCGUCUGAUUAGCUAGUUGGUGGGGUAAAGGCCUACCAAGGCUCCGAUCAGUAACUGGUCUGAGAGGAUGGCCAGUCACACUGGGACUGAGACACGGCCCAGACUCCUACGGGAGGCAGCAGUGGGGAAUUUUCCGCAAUGGGCGCAAGCCUGACGGAGCAAUACCGCGUGGGGGAGGAAGGCUCUUGGGUCGUAAACCUCUUUUCUCAGGGAAGAAUACAAUGACGGUACCUGAGGAAUCAGCAUCGGCUAACUCCGUGCCAGCAGCCGCGGUAAUACGGAGGAUGCAAGCGUUAUCCGGAAUGAUUGGGCGUAAAGCGUCCGCAGGUGGCAGUGUAAGUCUGCUGUCAAAGGUCAGGGCUUAACCCUGAACAGGCAGUGGAAACUACACAGCUAGAGUGCGGUGGGGGCAGAGGGAAUUCCCAGUGUAGCGGUGAAAUGCGUAGAGAUUGGGAAGAACACCGGUGGCGAAAGCGCUCUGCUAGGCCGUAACUGACACUCAUGGACGAAAGCUAGGGGAGCGAAUGGGAUUAGAUACCCCAGUAGUCCUAGCCGUAAACGAUGGAUACUAGGCGUAGCUCGUAUCGACCCGAGCUGUGCCGUAGCUAACACGUUAAGUAUCCCGCCUG
rnacentral:rRNA from 1 species